GAGUUUGAUCCUGGCUCAGGAUGAACGCUGGCGGUAUGCUUAACACAUGCAAGUCGAACGGUCUUUUAGGAGAUAGUGGCGGACGGGUGAGUAACGCGUAAGAAUCUGCCUUCAGGUCGGGGACAACCACUGGAAACGGUGGCUAAUACCGGAUGUGCCGAGAGGUGAAAGGCUUGCUGCCUGAAGAAGAGCUUGCGUCUGAUUAGCUAGUUGGUGUGGUAAGAGCGCACCAAGGCGACGAUCAGUAGCUGGUCUGAGAGGAUGAUCAGCCACACUGGGACUGAGACACGGCCCAGACUCCUACGGGAGGCAGCAGUGGGGAAUAUUGGACAAUGGGCGAAAGCCUGAUCCAGCCAUGCCGCGUGAGUGAUGAAGGCCUUAGGGUUGUAAAGCUCUUUCAGUAGGGAAGAUAAUGACGGUACCUACAGAAGAAGCCCCGGCUAACUUCGUGCCAGCAGCCGCGGUAAUACGAAGGGGGCUAGCGUUGUUCGGAUUUAUUGGGCGUAAAGCGAGCGCAGGCGGUUCCUUAAGUCUGAUGUGAAAGCCCACGGCUCAACCGUGGAAGGUCAUUGGAAAACUGGGGNAACUUGAGUGCAGAAGANGAGAGUGGAAUUCCAUGUGUAGCGGUGAAAUGCGUAGAUAUAUGGAGGAACACCAGUGGCGAAGGCGACUCUCUGGUCUGUAACUGACNCUGAAGCUCGAANGCGUGGGGA
rnacentral:rRNA from 1 species